AUGCCACGAUGGGGGCAUUUCCUAAGCAACUCCUUAAACCACGUGAAAGCCUCAUGGAAAGUUUCCCCUGAAUGUUGUUGGAAUGCCCUGAUUGCAUCCUGAGCUU
rfam:Helianthus annuus linkage group 14, whole genome shotgun sequence.